AAAGCAAUGCCAAAUUUUACCCAAAGCAACUAACCACUAACAAAGAAGUGAGAAAUUAUUAAAAUACACUGAUCUUUAUUAAUCCUAACAUGAUUGCUAUAAAUUUACUAAAUAAACCUACAUAUUUGAGACUGUCAUUUAAAAAUGAAAGUUCAAAAAUGGGUGAAUAUUUUUAUUAUGAAUGAUAUUUAAGUUGCAUUUGCUUGAGAAUUAAAAAUUGCAAGCUACCGCUGUGAAAAUAUACAAUGUGGUUUUCGAAAAUAUCAAUUUAAAGAAGAAACGAAAAAUCUUGAACUUGUGUGCUAAAAAUGUAUAAAUAUGAUAAAAUUCUUAUUCUAAUUUUAUCUAAAUAUAGACAAGGAAGUUAUAAAGAUCGACACCAUAAUGAUCAGUUCUAUGAAAUAAACAUUUUUAGCGAUUCAUUUACACGAAUUUGCAAACAAUUUUAAUUUUUUGAAAGAUUAUGACAGUAAAUUUCAAAAGUAUGUGUUCCGAAGAAAAGAAAAAACAACAAGGAAAGAAUUUGAAGAACUUUCAACUUGCACAAAAGAAUUUAUUUUAGAGCAAAUCAGAAAGAAAGGAAAUGAUGAAGUUAAGA